AAGAGUGAGUAGGCGGAUAUUAAAGUCAGAGGUAAAAUAUAGGGGCUCAACCCCUACCAGCCUUUGAAACUUAAUAUCUUGAGUAUAGGAGAGGAAAGUGGAAUUCCAAGUGUAGAGGUGAAAUUCGUAGAUAUUUGGAAGAAUACCAGUGGCGAAGGCGACUUUCUGGACUAAAACUGACGCUGAUGCACGAAAGCAUGGGUAGCAAACAGGAUUAGAUACCCUGGUAGUCCAUGCCGUAAAC
rnacentral:rRNA from 1 species